CCUUCUGAACCCAAACCCAUCUCUUCCUGGCAACCUCUUUCCCAGGGAUCUUGCCUGAGGCCUGACUUCCCUCCCAGCCUCUUCUACAUGGCUUCUUCUCUGACACUACCAGGCCCCAGGCAAUAAUUCUUCACAAGCUUGCCAAACUUGUAAUUCCUGAAUGAAUGCUCAGAGAGUGAAAUGUUGGCCUAAUUGCUAUUACACUAGCACGAAUAACCUCCUCCUCUGAACUUACCUGCAGGGUCAAGCUGUGAGCCCUCAGCUUCCUGCUUCAGCCCCCAUGCCUCUGCUCUGCCAUCAUGGACUCUUACCCUUCGCGGGCGGGAAACCCAAAUAAAUUCUUCCUUCUUUACAGGGUCAAGACCAGGAAGCCCCGCGGAUGACUUGGCAUUCUCUUCAGAGGGCAAGGGAGCUGGCAUCUGGAUUCGCAGCUGUCCCCCGCCUCACUCGCUUCCAACCUACAUUUAAGGAACUUCAGUCAGGUUCUGGAGAAGGAUGAGUCGCCGCCCCCUCUGGCCUCCUGGGGACCAAGGCUGCCUGGGGCAGAGGGGAGCUUGAGGAGGGGCGCGGGCCAGCUCAGGCAACCUGCGAUGGCAGGGCGAGCCGAGGCAGGCCCGCCCUUCACGCCCCCUCACCCCAGGCACCCAGGCCUGCGGGGCCCCAGAGCGUCCCCGGGAUGGCUGCCCUGGCUUGACCCUGCACGGCCCCAGGCUUGCUCCUGAGCCGAGCCCGCGCUCCCCACGCCCGGCUCUCCUCACUGCCCUCCCGGCCUCC